CAGGCCUAACACAUGCAAGUCGAACGAAGGCUUCGGCCUUAGUGGCGCACGGGUGCGUAACGCGUGGGAAUCUGCCCCUCGGUUCGGAACAACAGUUAGAAAUGACUGCUAAUACCGGAUGAUGACGUAAGUCCAAAGAUUUAUCGCCGAGGGGUGAGCCCGCGUAGGAUUAGCUAGUUGGUGUGGUAAAGGCGCACCAAGGCGACGAUCCUUAGCUGGUCUGAGAGGAUGAUCAGCCACACUGGGACUGAGACACGGCCCAGACUCCUACGGGAGGCAGCAGUGGGGAAUAUUGGACAAUGGGCGAAAGCCUGAUCCAGCAAUGCCGCGUGAGUGAUGAAGGCCUUAGGGUUGUAAAGCUCUUUUACCCGGGAUGAUAAAGACUGUACCGGGGGAAUAAGCCCCGGCUAACUCCGUGCCAGCAGCCGCGGUAAU
rnacentral:rRNA from 1 species